rnacentral:rRNA from 1 species
GACCUCGAAUCAGGUAGGACUACCU